rnacentral:lncRNA from 1 species
UGAUGUACACAAUAAUGGGUCCCUGUUUUAUUAUGUUUACUAGGAGGGAGAUUAUUUUGUAAAUGUGAUUUUAAAUGUAGUAGAAAUUCAGAUGUCAGAGACUUGCUUUUUAACUUUAUAUAUUCCAAUAUAUUUAAUGUUAAUAUAUUCUAUAAUUCUAAGCAGUGGAGUACAUUUCUAGCUACUGUUGCAGCUCCAGCUGUCUGAUCUCGCAUUCUCGGAUCUGCAAACAAGUUUGAGACAUCAUGGUAAUUAUACAGAAUACAGUGUGAACAUGGACAAACAGAAAGAAAAAAAAAAUUUACUUGCAAAACUUAAUUUUCUACUUUUGAAUGAUAUAAAUCUUACAGAUACCGGGAAGUAUAGUGGGACAUUCAUUUUUAUUUUCUGAUUAAAGUAACACAGCCAUGCUCUACAAGAUCACCUCUUGUGUUGCAUUUUAGUCAAAUUAACUUAGUAACCUACAU